AUCUUGAAAGAAUUGAAGGUUUCCAAAGGCAGAGAAGAGAAGAGACAGAGAGACUUCUGCAGGAGAUGAGCCUUGAGGAUCACAGAUGCCUCACAGCUGGACUGUUGGAGAGGCAGCCAGGUCUGAUUUUUGAUCUAUUGAUGGAGCAUCAGCAAGACAUGGUGCCCCUACAUCUGGGGUACUUUGGUGUACCUGUAGCCACUGCAGAGACAUGCCGACGGACAGGGAGCGGAAAUGUUGUGGACAAGACCCUGCCCACUGUGUGAGCCUCCUGCCACAUUUCACACAAUACUGCCUGGAUGAGGUUUAUCUGCGGAUACAUAGGCAGUACCGGGAAGAUCUCGCAGCAUUCGGAAAUGUAAGGGAGCCCGGUGAUGACAACCAUGAAUACAGGCAUGCAGCUUACAGACACUUUAUUUUCUGGCAGCAUGGCACAUUAGGACAGGGGAACAGGAGAGUGAUUCCCAGCUGCUGUGUUUGCAGGAUUAGGGAAAAAUUCCUAGACCCUCAGGGACAAUACACCGGCUACAUUCCAGGGAUCUAAGAGAUUGCCAGGAGUAGUUUUGUAAAUAUUGCAAAUAUUUAUAUUUAUAUCUAUUCAUAUAUUUUGUAUUCUUUGGAGUUCUGUUGACUUCUAACUUUGUUACAAAGAAUAAAAGAUUUGUUAUUUGA